rnacentral:rRNA from 1 species
GACGAACGCUGGCGGCGUGCUUAACACAUGCAAGUCGAACGGACAGGCCCUGCUUUUGUGGGGUGCUCGAGUGGCGAACGGGUGAGUAACACGCGAGUAACCUGCCCCUGACUUUGGGAUAACUUCAGGAAACUGGGGCUAAUACCGGAUAGGAGCUCCUGCUGCAUGUGGGUGGUUGGAAAGUUUCGGCGGUUGGGGAUGGACUCGCGGCUUAUCAGCUUGUUGGUGUGGUAGUGGCUUACCAAGGCUUUGACGGGUAGCCGGCCUGAGAGGGUGACCGGCCACAUUGGGCCUGAGAUACGGCCCAGACGCCUACGGGAGGCAGCAGGGGGGAAUAUUGCAGAAUGGGCGGAAGCCAGAUGCAGCAACGCCGCGUGCGGGAUGACGGCCUUCGGGUUAUAAACCGCUUUCGCCGGUGACGAAGAGGGAGUGACGGUAAUGGGUAAGGAAGCACCGGCUAACUACGUG